AUAUCAAUAAGCGGAGGAAAAGAAACCAACAGGGAUUGCCCCAGUAACGGCGAGUGAAGCGGCAACAGCUCAAAUUUGAAAUCUGGCCCCCAGGGCCCGAGUUGUAAUUUGCAGAGGAUGCUUUUGGCGAGGUACCUUCCGAGUUCCCUGGAACGGGACGCCAUAGAGGGUGAGAGCCCCGUCUGGUUGGAUACCGAGCCUCUGUAAAGCUCCUUCGACGAGUCGAGUAGUUUGGGAAUGCUGCUCUAAAUGGGAGGUAUAUGUCUUCUAAAGCUAAAUACCGGCCAGAGACCGAUAGCGCACAAGUAGAGUGAUCGAAAGAUGAAAAGCACUUUGAAAAGAGGGUUAAACAGUACGUGAAAUUGUUGAAAGGGAAGCGCUCAUGACCAGACUUGGGCCCGGUGAAUCAUCCAGCGUUCUCGCUGGUGCACUUUGCCGGGCUCAGGCCAGCAUCAGUUCGUCCCGGGGGACAAAGGCUUGGGGAAUGUGGCUCCUCCGGGAGUGUUAUAGCCCCUUGCAUAAUACCCUGGGUCGGACUGAGGUUCGCGCAUCUGCAAGGAUGCUGGCGUAAUGGUCAUCAGCGACCCGUCUUGAAACACGGACCAAGGAGUCGUCUUCGUAUGCGAGUGUUCGGGUGUAAAACCCCUACGCGUAAUGAAAGUGAACGCAGGUGAGAGCUUCGGCGCAUCAUCGACCGAUCCUGAUGUUCUCGGAUGGAUUUGAGUAAGAGCAUACGGGGCCGGACCCGAAAGAAGGUGAACUAUGCCUGUAUAGGGUGAAGCCAGAGGAAACUCUGGUGGAGGCUCGCAGCGGUUCUGACGUGCAAAUCGAUCGUCAAAUAUGG
rnacentral:rRNA from 1 species